rnacentral:rRNA from 1 species
UACGAAGGGGGCUAGCGUUGUUCGGAAUUACUGGGCGUAAAGCGAACGUAGGCGGUGUUCCAUGUCAGAGGUGAAAGCCUGGGGCUCAACUCCAGAAUUGCCUUUGAAACGGGAACGCUUGAGUCCGAGAGAGGAUGGCGGAAUUCCUAGUGUAGAGGUGAAAUUCGUAGAUAUUAGGAAGAACACCAGUGGCGAAGGCGACUUACUGGUCCAUGACUGACGCUGAGGCUCGAAAGCGUGGGGAGCAAACAGG